AUCUUUAUGCAGGGGCAUUACGUGUAUCAGUGAGGAUUCGUCCGAGAUCAUGUUUUUGCUGGUUGAAAACUAUACCUGACAGCUCCUUCUGAUUGUAUCCUUGUGUUACGAAUCUUAAGGGAAUUUUUGGCAAAUUUUAUG
rnacentral:snRNA from 1 species